ACUAUACACUACUUUGUACCGUACAGUGAAAUAUCAGCAGAAAUAUGUUUUUACAUUUGGUAAUUUCAAUGGAAAAUCAGUUACCGUGUUCGACGAACUUGGACAUCUCAUAAAAGACAGUACGGUUUGUGAUACAAUGAACUAAAAAAUUCUCUGUUGCUUUUCGGACUCCCAAGGGAAACCAAAUACCUACAUAAUGGAUUAGGGUUACAUAUCAUGUUAGGUAAAUGGGGCAUCGAGUGCAUCCACCAGCCACGACGCAAUCGACAAAUGCGCAUCGAAUUUGAUGACAUGGGAAUAUGGUCGACAUCGACCAGACUCUCGCCCUUUCGAGAAAGUUUCUUCGUUGUCUGUACUUCCUACGAGCGCGCUCUAAUGAACAAUUUAGAAAUGGACAUAGUGGCAACUUCACAUUAUGCUACCUAUAUAUGAUAUACAGCAUUUUGGACAUGGAAAUUGCAAGCGUUACAUACUUCACACUACUUUCAUUAACGCGAGGCCUAAGUUUUUUUUUAAAAAGAUACUCUUCCAACCGUUUUACAUGACAAAUUAACAUUUUCAAAACUUUGCAAAGACAGUUCUUCUGUAACAAAUUGAAAAGCCAUUUUUGCAGCUACUUGCUAUAGAGAUUACUUAUACUUUCAAGAACCUUGAAGAUGAAUAUUUUCCAUUCCAUUCACGUCAAUAACGCUAAAAAUUGAAUUAUGUAUAGGCGAUAUACUGGGUAACGUAUGGUCAAAAAUUUGAAAGAAAUUGUAAGAAAGUCAAUCUACGCUACAAAUACCUGAAGGAAAGAUUCUGUAUUUUCCUUCCCUUUCCUUUUCUAAUUCUUACUCUAUUCUAUCUUCUCGCUCAUUUUCUCACUGAUAUUUUUUCCUCCUUUCUUUCUCCUACCCCUUUCUUCUUCCAGUUCUGCGUAACGGCAAAAACAGAGCAAUUGGAAAAUGAACGUGCUGAAAGCAAAACACGAGUGACACCAUACGCAAGAAAGCCACGUAACAAACGCAAUGAAGCAAUUCCCUAUGAAACCAUAUGCUUAUCACAAACAGUAACAAGUUGUUCCCGUUGAAGAGGAGGACCCUAACACAAGCGAUAACACCACGGGCUGGCUCUUUUGCAACAGUGGAAAUCCAGCGAGGCAAAUCUAGUUUCCUGUUACUGUAAAAGGAUAUUGGUUGCGUGUAUAGAUAUACACGCAUACACAUAUCACAGCUUUAUACAAUAAUGGAACGCGUUCGUUGGAUAGCAUGUGCAUACGGCGAAUAGUGCUAGCCUUCGAAUCUUGUGUUAAACUACAAUAAUUUUCUCAACAGGUUAUUCGGUAUUGCUCCCUUCCCCAAAUCGCGUUACGCUUAAUACUACCCACACAGUCUCCCCCACUGGUCAUUCUUCGUUCAUCCCUUAAUGCCAUUACGUGGAUUAAAAACGACGAAACGUAUUAGUUGCGAAACGGCGAUGGGAACAGCUGAUGGGAAUUAUUUCGCGUGCACGCAUGCAGCAUUAAGAGGAAUCGUAGUAUGGAAACUGACGAUGAACGUUCCUAA
rnacentral:misc_RNA from 1 species